rnacentral:rRNA from 1 species
AGAGCGAACGCUGGCGGCAGGCUUAACACAUGCAAGUCGAGCGCCCCGCAAGGGGAGCGGCAGACGGGUGAGUAACGCGUGGGAACGUACCUUUUGGUUCGGAACAACACAGGGAAACUUGUGCUAAUACCGGAUAAGCCCUUACGGGGAAAGAUUUAUCGCCGAAAGAUCGGCCCGCGUCUGAUUAGCUAGUUGGUGAGGUAACGGCUCACCAAGGCGACGAUCAGUAGCUGGUCUGAGAGGAUGAUCAGCCACAUUGGGACUGAGACACGGCCCAAACUCCUACGGGAGGCAGCAGUGGGGAAUAUUGGACAAUGGGCGCAAGCCUGAUCCAGCCAUGCCGCGUGAGUGAUGAAGGCCCUAGGGUUGUAAAGCUCUUUUAACGGGGAAGAUAAUGACGGUACCCGUAGAAUAAGCCCGGCUAACUCGUGCCAGCAGCCGC